rnacentral:misc_RNA from 1 species
GAUGAAGAACGCAGCGAAAUGCGAUAAGUAAUGUGAAUUGCAGAAUUCAGUGAAUCAUCGAAUCUUUGAACGCACAUUGCGCCCGCCAGUAUUCUGGCGGGCAUGCCUGUUCGAGCGUCAUUUCAACCCUCAGGCCCCCAGUGCCUGGCGUUGGGGAUCGGCGCGGCGCCCUCCGGGGCGCUGCCGGCCCCGAAAUUCAGUGGCGGUCUCGCUGUAGCCCUCCUCCGCGUAGUAGCACAACCUCGCGGCCUGGAGCUCGGCGGUGGCCAUGCCGUAAAACACCCCACUUCUGAAAGUUGACCUCGGAUCAGGUAGGAAUACCCGCUGAACUUAAGCAUAUCAUAAGCGGAGGA